rnacentral:rRNA from 1 species
CACGAACUUAGCCCGUGCUUCCUCCAGGGAUCACUCAAGCCCCUUGCGGGACCUUGGUCCCCCUCGACAGGAGUUUACAACCCGAAGGCCUUCAUCCUCCACGCGGCGUCGCUCGGUCAGGCUUGCGCCCAUUGCCGAAGAUCCUCGACUGCAGCCACCCGUAGGUGUCUGGCCAGUGUCUCAGUGCCAGUGGCGCGGGUCGUGCUCUCACACCCGCUACGCAUCUUCGCCUUGGUGAGCCGUUACCUCACCAACUAGCUAAUACGAUAUGAGCCCCUCCGGAGGCGAAAUUCUUUCCGGCAAAGCGAUGCCACUUCGCCGAAUCGCCGUGUAUUACCCAUCCGUUAGGAAGGCUAUCCACGACCCCCGGGUAGGUUACCCAUACAUUACUGCCCCUUUCGCCACUUCCCCCGCCCUGUACUUGCUACAGGGCGAGGAUUCGUUCGACUUGCAUGCCUAAUCCACGCCGCCAACGUUCGUUCUGAGCCAGGAUCAAACUCU